rnacentral:lncRNA from 1 species
GUUUUUGUAAGUGAACAACAUAUAAUCAAAUCAGAAUCUCUUAAGAAUUUAUACAAAAUGCAUUUUUAGUACAACUCCUUACCGAAGUGGCUAUUACAUUCCAGAAAAGUUGCUUUACAAUCGCGCCAGCACUGCCCCUCUACGCAGAAACGUUUGCAAACCGACAGCUUACUGCGAAUGCCUUGGUCUACUUUCUCCCAGCUGUUCUGCACAUCUGGCCACAGCUGGUUUAUUUCAGAAUGGACCUGUGUAGGGGAGGAUCUGCAGCCUCCUCUCUCUCUUCUAUUGGCUCAUCCUUAUGGGACUCUCUGGGCUUGCUGGCAUUUCAUUGGCCUGGCUUGCCCCCUUCCCCGUGAGCUAAUUGGAGGAGCGGGAUGGAGGGGACGGAAUCCCCUUUGGUUUAUUGGGAAGGGGGAGCGGAGUUAUGCCCGGUCACCUGCGGCUCGGGCAGCUGUGGUGCCUCCGGCGCCUCACCCCCACCUCUCGCUGCUGCUGGGGGGAGCCGGAGCUCGAGCUGGAGCUGCCGGGCCCGCCGCUGUCAGGGGAAAUGGCCAAAGACAAGCGACACACACAAAGAACAUGGCGAGGGAAGGAGGAGUCUGAGCCGACGGCAGCUGCGCUCCCCCGCCCGAAGGACGCUCCGGGGAGGGAGGACAAUGCCCAGCCCACUCUGGCCCAGCUGCCGCCCGGCUCCCGGGGGAGGGGGCUGUUUUCCCAGGGCUGGGCGCCCCUGGUGUUUCCGCCUGCCCCACGCUGUAACAAACUACGCGCAAGUGCUACUGAACAGGACGCAGCUGGAGUGAGAUCUGCAGCGACUGUUCCUCCAGAAGUACUGAAGAUAGGAUCCAACUGCCGAGUGUGCAACUUCAGGAAUAAUCUUUUUCCCCACUCCAAACUACUAGCCACAGCAACUUGCUAUUUCACAUUACCAUAUGAAAAUCGCAUCCACUUCAUUGUGGAUACUUCUGUCACAGAUCAUAGAUGCAGAGAAUCUUCUCCUAAUGGCCAAGCAGUGUGGUGUUCCCUGGUUGAGUGUGCAUCUUACAUAAAUUAUAAAGGAAGCUGAAAUAGGAAGAAUUGGGCCCAACAAGGUCUGAUCCUGCAUCAUGGCUGCAUGCUGACCCAGCUGCUUGGUAUUUGAAAGGAGAAAGUUCAAAUGAAGAAGGACUUAGCAAACUCAUCACCUAACAAGCAUCUGUAAAGAAGUUGUUCCACGACGCUUUCUCUUGGACCUGGCCGAUGAUCCUGAUGUUUGGUAAGGUACAUAAUGUAGUCUCAAGUAAGUCCAAUGUCAGACAUACCCUGGAAUUCCUGCAAGACAAUCU